GGUCAUAUGCCCUGGCUGGUGUUGGACGCACGAUUCGACAGGUUGUCAGUUUGAGCCAACUGGCCAGAAUGUAUGGAGACUCGCAUCGAUUGCUAAGGGCCCCUCAUGGUCGUUGGCAGAGGAGAUGCGCAGAGCAAGCC